GUGGGGAAUAUUGGACAAUGGGCGAAAGCCUGAUCCAGCCAUGCCGCGUGUGUGAAGAAGGUCUUCGGAUUGUAAAGCACUUUAAGUUGGGAGGAAGGGCAGUAAGUUAAUACCUUGCUGUUUUGACGUUACCGACAGAAUAAGCACCGGCUAACUUCGUGCCAGCAGCCGCGGUAAUACGAAGGGUGCAAGCGUUAAUCGGAAUUACUGGGCGUAAAGCGCGCGUCGGUGGUUUUGUAAGUUGGAGGUGAAAUCCCCGGGCUCAACCUGGGAACUGCCACCAAAACUGCAUGACUAGAGUACGGUAGAGGGUAGUGGAAUGUCCUGUGUAGAGGUGAGAUGCGUAGAUAUAGGAAGGAACACCAGUGGCGAAGGCGACUACCUGGACUGAUACUGACACUGAGGUGCGAAAGCGUGGGGAGCAAACAGGAUUAGAAACCCUGGUAGUCC
rnacentral:rRNA from 1 species